GGAAGGUCCGGGCGUUAUCCGGAUUUAUUGGGUUUAAAGGGAGCGCAGGCCGCCCCUUAAGCGUGUUGUGAAAUGCCGCGGCUCAACCGUGGCACUGCAGCGCGAACUGGGGGGCUUGAGUGCGCCGGAGGUAGGCGGAAUUCGUGGUGUAGCGGUGAAAUGCUUAGAUAUCACGAAGAACUCCGAUUGCGAAGGCAGCCUACCGUAGCGUUACUGACGCUGAGGCUCGAAGGUGCGGGUAUCGAA
rnacentral:rRNA from 1 species